UGGGGAAUCUUGCGCAAUGGACGAAAGUCUGACGCAGCCAUGCCGCGUGAGUGAUGAAGGUCUUAGGAUUGUAAAGCUCUUUCGCUCGCGACGAUGAUGACGGUAGCGAGAGAAGAAGCCCCGGCUAACUUCGUGCCAGCAGCCGCGGUGAUACGAAGGGGGCUAGCGUUGUUCGGAAUUACUGGGCGUAAAGCGUGCGCAGGCGGUUUUUUAAGCCAGAGGUGAAAUCCCGGAGCUCAACUUCGGAAUGGCCUUUGGAACUGGAAAGCUUGAGAACGGUAGAGGUGAGUGGAAUUCCCAGUGUAGAGGUGAAAUUCGUAGAUAUUGGGAAGAACACCGGUGGCGAAGGCGGCUCACUGGACCGUUUCUGACGCUCAGGCACGAAAGCGUGGGGAGCAAA
rnacentral:rRNA from 1 species